UCUCUCUCUCUCUCACUCUCUCUCUCUCUCUCUCUGUGAGUCUAUAAAGCUUUAUGGGUUAGGGUUUUAGAUGGGGAAAACUGUGGUUCUGGUUGUUGUCUGUGUUGUUGAGGGGAAUGUUGGCUGGCUCGAGGCUUUCAGGUUAGCUCUGGUAUGAGGAGAGAAGUGAAGGCGUCGGACCAGGCUUCAUUCCCCUCAACCAUGUUAACGUUGGUGAUGCUACUAGCUCUUCUGCAAAUUCAUCAGCUUAGUCAUGGUGGUGCAAGCAGAGUUACUAGAGACGUUUCGUUUAGGUUAGGUUGAGGGGAAUGUUGUCUGGCUCGAGGUCACGUAGGUGAUUUUGUAGAUUUUCCUGUUUUACGUUUAGAGUUGUAAGGAAAGUUUGGAUUCAACGCCUAAGUGACCUCGGACCAGGCUUCAUUCCCCUCAACCAACAUAUGCUCUCUUCUCUUCUCAUCUCAGUACUCAUUCUUUCUCAAGGCGAGAACUGAUAACCUCUCUCUCUCUCUCUCUCUCUCUCUCCACACACAAACACAAGUUUAGUUUCUUUUUUUUUUUGUGAAUUUAUUGUAUUUUCUUUUGUUUCUGGACUUUGCAUGGAAUUUUUUUUUUCUGAAUAGAAGCUGAGAAUACUAACAAGAUCACUAAUGGCCAUUGACUUUCUAUGCAGAUCGUUUUACGGGCUUGUUUGUUUCUUUCUUCUGGAUUAUAUGCCUGCUACUCUGCAUGUGUGUCUGUGUGUGCUUGUUUGAGAAACGAACACCCCGUUUCUUCAAACUUCAAAGCGUUUACUGUUUGCGUAUUAGAAUCUAAGUUAUGAUUUUCACUUUGAUGCAUGACUCAAAUGUUCAUUCAUGUUGACAGGAUGUACGCUUCUGUAAAACCUAAUAGACUGAAACUCCCUGCAUACUAGGCUAGAUCUCUAUGCUUCUAGUGUUUAUAAACAGUAUCUCUAUUCUUUUAGCCUGUUUGUGUUUAUCAGCUUUUCUUAUUUACCCAGUUAUCACCAAACCAAGGUAAAAGCUAGACUGAAUUCUCUCUCCCAGGCAUACACAUGUCAUCUUAGUUCUUACACUCAACUAGCCAGUGAGAAAACACACCACUACCUCUGAUCUAUGAUGCCAGCAAUUGAAGGAAAGGUCACCAGGUGAAAGAACAUUGAUGAUGACCAGACGAUACCAAGGAUGUGAUGUUGAUUAAACUGUUGGUGGCUACGAGAUGUUGAGCUUCCAAUGAAGGUGUGAAGAUGACCAUGGGAUAUGGAAACGUAACUGUUGAAUUUAUUUUGUCUUUGUUUUAUUAUGAGAUGUUGACUGGGGAGCAUUAAAGCCUCCAAAGCUGGCGGGACAUGUGGAGGGGUCAAUGAAUGAAAAAGAUGCCAUAGAUAGAUUUUAACGAUAAAACAAGCGAGUUUCUCGCUUAUCAGAUUCUGGGUUUCCUCCAUGUUCAUCUCAUGACGACUCAUAGACUCAUGAACCAUGUGUUUGUGUACUCUGUCUCUGAUGAUGAUGCCAUCCCAACUCUAAGAGAGAGAGAGAGAGAGAGAGAGAUAAUGAGGCUUGUAAGAUGUCGAAGGCUAUUAGUUUUCUCUCAGAGUCACAGUACAGAUGUAGCUUUUGAAAAACCAACAUCAACAGUUGAAUACAUCGGUUUGUGGACAGAGAGAGAGAGAGAGCCUUCUUAACUUGUGGGUUUUCUUUCUUUUUUUCCCUGUUUGAAUCAAUAAAUGACGAAGAUCUGACGUUUAUCGGAAAAUGAGACAAAGUCACAGAACACAGAAUUCAGUAUCAUCCAUGACAACUUCAUCUUCGAGAAGAAGACUAUUACCCUUUCUCUGAACAACAUUUCCAUAUAAAACUAUGCAUCUUUUCUCGAUUGAAGACCAUAUAUGCAUGAAUUUAGCUUAUUUAUUACAGAGAGAGAAAGAGAGAGAGAGAGAGAGAGUCAAAUAUACGUGUGAUGCACGUAUAUUUUUCAAUUGUUCGUGUUGAGAACAGCGCUUUCGCUACCCAUCAACCAUUCUAACUCCUUCCAUGAUCCAAAAUAGAUUACUGAGUUACCCAUCAA